UUAUCUAUAAGUAGAAAAGGCUCUCUACACACUCUUCGGAGUACCUGAGAUGAUGUAUACGCCGCCCAUCAUAGAUAA
rnacentral:ncRNA from 12 species